UACGUAGGAGGCAAGCGUUGUCCGGAAUUACUGGGCGUAAAGCGCGUGUAGGUGGUGGGACAAGUCUGCUGUGAAAGCGCCUGGCUUAACCGGCGAGGUCGGCGGAAACUGUCCGACUCGAGGACGGUAGAGGGGGUGGAAUUCCCGGUGUAGUGGUGAAAUGCGUAGAGAUCGGGAGGAACACCUGUGGCGAAGGCGGCCCCCUGGGCCGGCCCUGACACUGAGACGCGAAGGCGUGGGGAGCGAACGGG
rnacentral:rRNA from 1 species